ensembl:lncRNA
CAAGGUGAACAGACCAUAACUUUAUUGGAGAUAUACUCAGCUACAAUUCUUACAAAAAACUAUUAAAGGUAAUUGUGAUCCAUAAGGUGCAGAUUGCAAACUUCUGCAGCAUGAUUACAGUAUGAAUGAAUUACAUUUUAUGUCCCUUAAAGACAGCUGCAGCAUGUGAUGGUAAGUAUUUUAUUGUCCAUCAAAUUAUAUGUUAUUCAUUCUACUUGAUUUUAACCAUCUUCUCAGUCAAACUAUUUACAAUAAAAAUGCCUGCAAUUUCCAAUUCUUGUUUACAAACAUUUUUUCUCUCCAACUUGCUGCUGCAGUAAAUUCUGAGUGCAUCUACAAAGCAAUCAAAGUAGUCUGUGGUUGCCAUUCAAAUAAGAGGAAAAAAACCCAAGGGCUUUAUUGGAUAAAAUUUAUUUCUUAAAAAUGUAGUCAGCUUUGACAGAAGUUAAUUUUAACUGCUAGUGGAGUAUACUACGACCUCUAGAUAUUUGCUAACAGAACUGAGAUGGAGUUGCAGUUGAUAUUUAGAUUACAUUUCAUGGUCACGAACUGUAGUGUUUUAAGUUUUAAACCCAAUAUGAACGUAAAGAAAUUAACUUCUUGAAAAUUAGAGCAAUUGGAAAAGGACCAAUGUCAGUAAGUACCAAAAAUUAAAACCCUUCUUGCUUCACUCAUGUAAUAAAUACAGAUAUUUCCAUGAGACUGUUUUUGUAGAGAUCCCCACUCAAAACAUACAAACCCAGAAUACUGUCACAGAGAGGCAAGUGCAGUAUCACAGCAGACCAUAAUGCUACUCCUCAUUUUCAGAUUACGUGUGCUGCUGUGACUGGGAUACAAAGAUUUCACCUUCUAUACAGAUGAAUGCAUGUAGCGUAGCUAUGUCAUAUGCAGUAACAUAAAAACCCAUCAUUUCCAGUUUAUGGUUCUCUAUUUCCUUACAAGGAGAAAAACCCAAAUUCUGCAACAUACAUACAAACACAAGAUCUUCAGAUAUGUAAAAGAAUGCAGUUCCAUUGAUUAAAAUGAUACCACAUCAAUUUGCACUAGCUGAGGAUCUGGCACCUUAUCCCUGGGCCACCACUAUAUUCCUCCCCAGCAUGGAAACUGGUUCUUGUUCAAGUUCUGUACUCUGCAGUCACAACAUAAUAUUGUGUAAUGAGACUUAAAGAUAGUAGGCUUUUUUUCUGUAUGGACUUUAGCAGCAUCAAGCUGAACAAACACUUCAGAAGUCGCUACUGGGCACUCAAUAUUCAGACUGAGCAGAGAUUUAGUUCAGGCUGACCAAAUUACUACGGGCUGUCUACUCGCAAAAACUACAUUAUAUUCAUAAUAUGUUGGUUUGUUCAGAGAUAAUUACUGGAGUGUCAGAGGUCAUUCUAAUUUUAAUUACUUCACAUAACAGUAAAAUGAUGUAGUAGAAAGACAAUAGCUUUAAAAUACAAUCAAGAGUUGUUACACAUCUUUGUUGUAUUUUUUCCACAUACAGUAAAAAUGCCACAGACAUUACAAAUGACCUAUCUCAGUUGUGCAAGUAAAUGACACAUUGCAGGCAUUAUAAUUAUCUUUUUCAAAUUCAGUAAAUCACAACAGCAGCAAGGCCAAACCACAUUUUUCCUCUCUGUUAAGCAUUUUUUCCUUGAAAUGAGGUAAAGCAUGGUACCAAGUGCAAUGCUUAUUUGUGCUACAUGAACAGAACAGCGCAAAAAAAAAAAAAAGCCAUAAAAAUAAAAACGCAGCAUAGUUAGGAGGACUGUUUAAAGUACAGUAUAACAGGACUUAGAUUAAAAAAAAAAAACAAAACAAACCAAACAAGGUUCAUGCCAACUAACCCCCACACUAUUAUGACAAGCCUGUGUGGUUGCUUUUGAAGAUGGGUUACAACAGUCCACUUACACUUGUGCUUACAGCAUGUCAAGUGAUUUCUAUCCCAACCUUCAAAUGAUCAGAUUUAGGUCUUUAAUAGCAUACAAUGUCCAAUAUCAAAAUCAUAUCAACUGUAGGGUAAAACACACAGAUGUAUAACAUGGAAACUAAUAUGAAUUUUCUAUCUCAAGGAUAAAAAAUAUUUCAAUGAGGUCACACUGGAAAAAAUUACGGCAUUUAAAACGCAUUUAAAAACGCAUCAGCAGCAGAAACUACUUUAUAGUCAGCCACUACACAUUUCAGAUUUCCAAUUCAUAGGCUUUACCUAGUAACAAAGCGAUCAUUAAACUAUUCUGAAACACAGAACAAGUUCAGUUAAUUUUCUUUGCAUCAAAACACUCUGUAGCACUUUACUGCUAGCAAUUACCUGAAACCCCUGAGAAUCUAUAACCUUGUAAUAAUCAGCAAGAAAUUUUAGGCAUUCAAAGACUAACUUAAAUUUUAGUUUUUCAUAAUGCAGUUAAAACUACUUAAGACUUUCUAGAUGGUCUGAUUUCAUCUGCUGAUUGGUGUCUGGCCAGAAAGAGAGAAUUGUUAACAUUAGUAAUCAUGCAUUUUUGCUAGAAAACUUCACUCCUACCAUGAAAAAAAGAGCUGUAACUUAAAUCAGUGAUCUUUUUAAAAAAAAAAACAAACCAAACCCCCAAAAACCAAAAAAAUCCAAACCCUUCAGCUAACUCAAAACAAUUUACCUUUGAAAAUUCAGACAGUGUGUUUUUACUAUUUCAUCUCAUUUACACUUGUUUUACACAUAUCCAGACUUGCAGGUCUGAUAACGUCCCUGUUAUAUUUUAAUGACUGAAGUACCAAACAAAUGCUAGAAUUUUUUAAAAGCUAGUAUUUUAAUUCUCGUUCUGACUACUAUAACAAUGCUGCUUUCAAAUACAAAAAUGGUCCUUUUUGCAGAAUGAAAAAUGACUGAGGCAGAAAAUAUAUGAACUUUUGAAAACUGUAUUUCAGAAAAGCUUAAUGUCUACCCCUUGUCACUACGGCAUUUAUUUUAUCUUUUGUUAAGAAAGCAAGAGCCGACAGUUUUCGCUUUGUUUUAGUGUGCAUUUGUGAGGAAAGGAAUAAGGUUUAAAAGCAGGAAAUACAGUAUUUAUUUGUAAUUUAAUACAUAAGACACAGCAUCAAGUUCAAACUAUUGUGCUGGAAAACGUUAAAACACCUUGCUCUGCUUUCUCAAACUUCAAGCAUAAUUAACAGGGCAAAAUUGCAGCAAACCUCUACUGAUACUGGUGGGAAUACAAGACCCACAGCUUUUUUAAAAGGUAAAUUAAGAGGUAUUAUAGUUACAGUGCAAAAAAUUAAAAUUUCAAGCAUAAUAUAUAAACAUAGCACCAAAACAGAAAAAAAACAAUGCAUGCGAAAAAACCAAACCAAACCAAAAAAACCCAAAAAAACCCCAAACCAACCAACCAAAAAAAAAAAAAAGGAAAAAACCAACCAAAAAAAAAAAAAAAAAAA